rnacentral:tRNA from 1 species
UUUAUUUAGUUUAAAUAAAACAUUACAUUUUCAUUGUAAAAUUAGAUUUACAUUCUAAUAAAUAU